rnacentral:lncRNA from 1 species
GGAGGAUCUGUACUAAGCCCCCCAGAGCUGCGGGUCUGGGCGCCUCUCUUUCCCCAAUUGGGCCUCCGCUUCUUACAAGAGCUGUCAGAGCCUCAGCUUAGAGCUAUGCUUCCUGCUCUUCCGGGAACCACUGUCACACCUGCUCAGCUGUCCUUGGAGGAACUCUGCUCCUUGCACCCUCUGCUGCCUGGCCUCAGCCCCCGGAC